rnacentral:rRNA from 1 species
GCUGAAAGCCUGGUGCUUGCACCGGGUGGAUGAGUGGCGAACGGGUGAGUAACACGUGAGUAACCUGCCCCUGACUUCGGGAUAAGCCCGGGAAACUGGGUCUAAUACCGGAUACGACUGCCGGACGCAUGUCUGGUGGUGGAAAGUUUUUUCGGUUGGGGAUGGGCUCGCGGCCUAUCAGUUUGUUGGUGAGGUAAUGGCUCACCAAGACGACGACGGGUAGCCGGCCUGAGAGGGCGACCGGCCACACUGGGACUGAGACACGGCCCAGACUCCUACGGGAGGCAGCAGUGGGGAAUAUUGCACAAUGGGGGAAACCCUGAUGCAGCGACGCAGCGUGCGGGAUGACGGCCUUCGGGUUGUAAACCGCUUUCAGCAGGGAAGAAGCGCAAGUGACGGUACCUGCAGAAGAAGUACCGGCUAACUACGUGCCAGCAGCCGCGGUAAUACGUAGGGUACGAGCGUUGUCCGGAAUUAUUGGGCGUAAAGAGCUCGUAGGUGGUUGGUCACGUCUGCUGUGGAAACGCAACGCUUAACGUUGCGCGUGCAGUGGGUACGGGCUGACUAGAGUGCAGUAGGGGAGUCUGGAAUUCCUGGUGUAGCGGUGAAAUGCGCAGAUAUCAGGAGGAACACCGGUGGCGAAGGCGGGACUCUGGGCUGUAACUGACACUGAGGAGCGAAAGCAUGGGGAGCGAACAGGAUUAGAUACCCUGGUAGUCCAUGCCGUAAACGUUGGGCACUAGGUGUGGGGGGCAUUCCACGUUCUCCGCGCCGUAGCUAACGCAUUAAGUGCCCCGCCUGGGGAGUACGGUCGCAAGGCUAAAACUCAAAGGAAUUGACGGGGGCCCGCACAAGCGGCGGAGCAUGCGGAUUAAUUCGAUGCAACGCGAAGAACCUUACCAAGGCUUGACAUACACCGGACCGUCCUGGAAACAGGUCCUCUUCUUUGAAGCUGGUGUACAGGUGGUUGCAUGGUUGUCGUCAGCUCGUGUCGUGAGAAGGUUUGGGUUAAGUCCCGCAACGAGCGCAACCCUCGUUCUAUGUUGCCAGCAUGUGGAUGGUGGGAACUCAUAGGAGACUGCCG